GAUGAAUAACGUAGCGAAAUGCGAUACUUGGUGUGAAUUGCAGAAUCCCGUGAACCAUCGAGUCUUUGAACGCAAGUUGCGCCCGAAGCCAUUAGGCCGAGGGCACGCCUGCCUGGGCGUCACACGUCGUUGCCCCCCCAUCUACUCCUUCGGGAUUGCGGGGGGCGGAUGAUGGCCUCCCGUGCGCCACGCCGCGCGGUUGGCAUAAAUGCCAAGUCCUCGGCGACGCACGCCACGACAAUCGGUGGUUGCGAAACCUCGGUUGCCCGUCGUGUGCGGUCGUCGCGCAUCGAGGGCUCGAAAAAAUUGCCGGGUUCCGGCUCGGCUUUCAACGCGACCCCAGGUCAGGCGGGGUUACCCGCUGAAUUUAAGCAUAUCAAUAAGCGGAGGA
rnacentral:misc_RNA from 1 species